UGGUCAAGGUCCACUGAUCAACCGUCUAUAUACACUCUUACUAAAACCUGCAAGAGAACAAGGAGAGGUUCACUCUCACAACUCACAGAGAACACCGAUCUGGAUGUUCUGGCCAACCAACCAUUGAAAAGAAGGAGUGAUCACCCACCUAGAAACCUAAGAAAAUGAGCUGAAAAGCUGUUAACACAAGUUCAGCAGAUGCCAGGAGGCGGCAAGCCCGGCUGCAGAAAGAGCUUGCAGAAGCAGCAAAGGAACCUCUACCAGUCGAACAGGAUGAUGACAUUGAGGUCAUUGUGGAUGAAACUUCUGAUCACACAGAAGAGACCUCUCCUGUGCGAGCCAUCAGCAGAGCAGCCACGAGACGCUCUGUCUCUUCCUUCCCAGUCCCCCAGGACAAUGUGGAUACUCAUCCUGGUUCUGGUAAAGAAGUGAGGGUACCAGCUACUGCCUUGUGUGUCUUCGAUGCACAUGAUGGGGAAGUCAACGCUGUGCAGUUCAGUCCAGGUUCCCGGUUACUGGCCACUGGAGGCAUGGACCGCAGGGUUAAGCUUUGGGAAGUAUUUGGAGAAAAAUGUGAGUUCAAGGGUUCCCUAUCUGGCAGUAAUGCAGGAAUUACAAGCAUUGAAUUUGAUAGUGCUGGAUCUUACCUCUUAGCAGCUUCAAAUGAUUUUGCAAGCCGAAUCUGGACUGUGGAUGAUUAUCGAUUACGGCACACACUCACGGGACACAGUGGGAAAGUG
rnacentral:misc_RNA from 1 species